rnacentral:rRNA from 1 species
GGAUGACACUUUUCGGAGCGUAAACUCCUUUUCUUAGGGAAGAAUUCUGACGGUACCUAAGGAAUAAGCACCGGCUAACUCCGUGCCAGCAGCCGCGGUAAUACGGAGGGUGCAAACGUUACUCGGAAUCACUGGGCGUAAAGGGCGCGUAGGCGGAUUAUCAAGUCUCUUGUGAAAUCUAAUGGCUUAACCAUUAAACUGCUUGGGAAACUGAUAAUCUAGAGUGGGGGAGAGGCAGAUGGAAUUGGUGGUGUAGGGGUAAAAUCCGUAGAUAUCACCAAGAAUACCCAUUGCGAAGGCGAUCUGCUGGAACUUAACUGACGCUAAGGCGCGAAAGCGUGGGGAGCAAACAGGAUUAGAUACCCUGGUAGUCCACGCCCUAAACGAUGUACACUAGUUGUUGGGGUGCUAGUCAUCUCAGUAAUGCAGCUAACGCAUUAAGUGUACCGCCUGGGGAGUACGGUCGCAAGAUUAAAACUCAAAGGAAUAGACGGGGACCCGCACAAGCGGUGGAGCAUGUGGUUUAAUUCGAAGAUACGCGAAGAACCUUACCUAGGCUUGAUAUCCAACAAAUUCUGUAGAGAUACGGAAGUGCUAGCUUGCUAGAAUGUUGAGACAGGUGCUGCACGGCUGUCGUCAGCUCGUGUCGUGAGAUGUUGGGUUAAGUCCCGCAACGAGCGCAACCCACGUAUUUAGUUGCUAACAGUUAGGCUGAGCACUCUAAAUAGACUGCCUUCGUAAGGAGGAGGAAGGUGUGGACGACGUCAAGUCAUCAUGGCCCUUAUGCCUAGGGCGACACACGUGCUACAAUG